CAUCGAUUUGUUCAUUUUUAACAAACGCAGCAAAGGAACGAUGCAUAGGCCUGUAAGAAUAAAUUAUCCCAGUAGAUGCAUAAGUGCAUGGAUAUACGCUUAAAGAAGGACCACCACCAGCAGCAUGUUAAGAUCUGUCAGUUUUACAAAAUAGAAAGGAACAGAAAUCAGUUUUCAUGAUGAUUAAAUAUUAAAAUGAUCUUACAACAAUAAAAUACUUUUUUUUUUUGUUUACUGAUUGGUAGACGCAUGGAUCUGUCACAUUUCAUUUUUACACUACUCGCUCUAAAAAGAUGGAAGCGGGCCGUUUACAGGCAGAAAACCAA